CUAAACCCUAUGAACACUAAAAAUUCUUCCGUGUCCACCAACCACCUCCAGCUCUCUUUUGAAUUCUCUUUUCUGAUACCUGAUGCAAACCCCUUCUCGAUUGUCUCUUAGAAUUCUUACUGUUUCUAACUCGGAGAAACAUCAAUUUCGGGGUUUUUUCAUCUGAAUCAAAUUUUUUUUUUUUGAUCUUCUGUGAUGCAUUCGAAAAUUUUCGUUAUCUCUUUUCGUUGGCAGAUCUCAAGGGAAGGAGUUGUAAUGCCUCAAAAAUCAGAACCAACAGAGUACACAAGCGGUGUUUGUUAAAAUGCCUAAAUGAAUUGAUUAGUUUUUCUGCUACUGUAAGGCUGUUGUUGCCGAUUGAGGGGUUUAAUGGGUUCCGGUGGUGUCAAAUGUUGUAAUCAGUUGGAGGAAAUAGUAUGGGUAGGAGGCGGAGUUGUUUUUGGCAGAGAGAAUGCUCACUGAGCAGGCAGAUGUCAUAACUUUUGAUGGCGAGGUACUACUAUACCAGCAUCCUUUUUGUAUCAGUUUUUAUGCAAGCCUUAAUUAGUUAAGUUGUGACGAAAUCUAUACAAGCCAUACUAUGUUGGAAAAACAAUGGUUUGCAUGAUUUCUAAAGUGUUUUUUUCAUUCUGAUUAUAGUAUUUGCAACAUGAAGCACUGUAGCGGGAUAUACACAUUCUGUUUAAGUGUUUAAUCUUUCGCAUAUCUUAUAUUUUGACUA